UAAAAUUAAAUAUUUUAUUUUUUCAUACAUGCAGCAAAUUGAAUCAAGAGUAUAUGCCCAUCUAAAAGGAGGUCUUCAUGAGAACCGUUUGACAACACACAGCAGGUAGUCUAGGAUGUAGAAAAGUCAUCAAAUACUUGCAGGUGAAAUCAAAUUCACAAACACAAACUCAUCAACAAUAAACAUUUUCUCUUUUUUUUAUUAUUUUUUAAUUUUUUUUCCCUCCUUGUUUUAACUGCCACUUUGAAUGUGAUCGGAAAUAAAGAGCUCAGGCGACACUCCCAUGCAUGGAGCCAGAGGCUGUGCUCACACAGCUGCUCCUGCCCCAGGGCAGUGGGAGCAGGUCUGGGCACCCUGCAGGUGCCAUCCCAGCCUCUGGCACGGCCCAUCCGUGUCCUGUGCCCCAAUGCCCUGGGCUCCUCCCGGGGUCACAGCUCUGGGACUCACAACCACCGGAGCACAGCACUGCCCUGCACUCACCUCCCCCUGCUGCCUGGGCUGGCCACUGCACAAACCCCCAUUUAUUCAUUCAUUAAAUGGAUUAAUCAAUCGAUAGCUGCUUUGGUGAUGCUCUCAUGACGAGCAGGCUGCUCAGAGCCCCGGCAGGGCACACAGGCACAGCAGCAGCAGCAGCUCCCAGCCAGAACCAGUGGAGCUGUACCAGGAACAGGAGCUGGAGCUGCCCCAGAGCAGCAGCCAAGGGCUCAGCACAGCCCAGGGGCAGCUCUCUGACCCACCCUGUCCCAGGGAGAGCCUGGGCCCACUUACCUGUAGCACCGGGGAGUAAUCCACGAGGGACAAAGCAUGGACGUGCCAUC